rnacentral:lncRNA from 1 species
AUGCAGGCCGGGCUUCCUCCUCCCAGUGCGGGCGGGGGGGGGGGGGGGGGGGGGGGGGGGGUGGGGGGGGGGGGGGGGAGGGGGGGGGGGGGAAGGUGGUCCCGACUCCCCCUCCGCCGUAGCCCGCAAAGCCGAUCCUGGCCUCCUGCAGAGACGCCUCAGCGCCCUCCUGCAGACCUGACGGCCCCCUCCCCGGGCACCCCGGCCCUGGCCGGGUCUCGCGGGUACCCCCUCCUCCCCGGGAGCCGCCGGCGGAGCGCCGGUGGAGGAAGCGAGGAGACCCAGGAGGAUGCCGCCGCCGCCGCCGCUGCAGGGCCCGGGGUUCCUGCGGGGCGCGAGGCCUCCCUAACCAGGGAAACCCGCCCAGGCCAGGAGGAGCGGCUAGAGCUGUGGAGAGUCAAAGAGAGGAGAUGCGCUCAGAGAUUACCCCCUCCUUCUCCACUCCCCACCACCAGGCUGGGCCCUCCAGCUUCGGGGGAUCCUGGCCCUCCCUCUGCCACUACCCUCUUCUCCUCGGCGGCCGCACUCCGCCACCACCUCUAGUCCCCGCUGCCCAGCGACCACAAGCAAAGCGGGGUUCGGCCUCCAGCAACGAGGCUUCCCUGGCCGGAUCGCUGCGGUUGUUAAACCUCCCUCCGGUUACCCCAGCCAUUAAGAAAAAGGUGAUCGAGAAAUAUCUGGUCCACACACAAAGACAUCCAGCGAAACGAAGGCACAUUUCUGUGUGAAAAGGCACAGGAGCAGAGGAGACAACGCGUCGGUGCAGCCCAGAAAUGAUAAGAAUAACCGGGUGCCAGAGAACAGUGGGCUUUUGGAUUCUGCCCCCGCGCACCUUAUCAGGAUCCCUAAUUCCCUGCCACCUCCCGGGGUUCCCAGACACAAACCGCCUCGAAUUCCCAAAGAGGGGCUCUCAGCCACCCGCCUCCCACAUACCUGCCCCUUCCUUAGGCUCUCUCUGUGUGGCCCUGAGCUGCUGGGCGGCCCAACACAGAGGCUCCACCAAUGAGUGCCCAGGGGCGCCCACUCCCAUCCACUCACUGCACCCCCGACUUACCCCCACCUCAUAUAUCAGCUGGAAAAAAAAAAAGGCAGGGUGGAAAUAUCAAUAAAGGAAAAUGCAGCUUCCCA